rnacentral:rRNA from 1 species
UAGAUUGACACGACUCUCGGCAAUGGAUAUCUCGGCUCUCGCAUCGAUGAAGAGCGCAGCGAAAUGCGAUACGUGGUGCGAAUUGCAGAAUCCUGUAAACCAUCGAGUUUUUGAACACAAGUUGCGCUCGAGGCCAAUCGGCCAAGGGCACGUCUGCCUGGGCGUCA